rnacentral:lncRNA from 1 species
GAUAAUACCUUUCAAAUCCUCAAUUUCCCAUCCAAUAGAAUUUUUGUAUUUUUUCAGGACUUGAAUGAGCUUUUCUUCUUGGAUAUUCUUUAGGCUUGAGUUUAUGAUAGCAGGACAUUUUCCUUCAGAAUCGAGAAAGACAUAUUUGAGAUUCUCAGGAAGUUGUGUCAGCUUCGUUCCCUUCUUUGGCUCUUCAUUCUC